rnacentral:rRNA from 1 species
UACGGAGGGUGCGAGCGUUGUCCGGAAUCAUUGGGCGUAAAGGGCGCGUAGGUGGCCCGGUCAGUCUUUGGUGAAAGCGCGGGGCUCAACCCUGCGUCGGCCAGGGAUACUGCCGCGGCUCGAGCACUGUGGAGGCAGGCGGAAUUCCGGGUGUAGCGGUGGAAUGCGUAGAGAUCCGGAAGAACACCGGUGGCGAAGGCAGCUCGCUGGGACGGUACUGACGCUGAGGCGCGAAAGCGUGGGGAGCGAACAGG